rnacentral:lncRNA from 1 species
UGAAGAAAAUCUGAAAUCCAUCGUACCUAUUACUAAACUGAAAAGUAAGGCACCUCACUGGAUAAAUCGGAUACUCCAUGAGUACAAGAACCUUAGCAUGAGUGAGGGUGUCAGUAAGGAAAUGCAUCACCUGCAACGCAUGUUUCUACAGAACUGCUGGGAAAUUCCUACAUACGGAGCAGCUUUUUUCACAGGACAGAUAUUUACAAAGGCAAGCCCAAGCAAUCAUAAAGUCAUCCCUGUGUAUGUGGGAGUGAACAUCAAAGGACUUCAUCUCCUAAACAUGGAAACUAAGGUAGCGCCUUAGCUAUGUUUGUGUAGUUCUAUCAUGCGUUAUUUAGAACAGCAUUGCCACCUUCCAUGAAGAAUCUACAUACAAUCUACACAUCAACUGUAAUACAUUUUUGCAUUUGCAAUAAUUUUGCAUACAAUAGAAUAAAUAGUAUUUGGGGUAGAAUGAUGUUUUUAUAUGUUAUAAGGGUGCUGAACUUUUCAGUAUGCUAAUAUUGCUGUAAAAGUUGUAGGAGUUGAAGAAUGUCUUUAUAUAAAUACAGAUUACAUUGUUAUUUCUAUAUAAUUUUUAUUUUUUUGAGACAGGUUCUUACUAUGUAGCUCUGGCAUCCAGGAACUCACUGUGUAGACCAGGUUGGCCUUAAACUCACAGAGGUUUGCCUGCUUCGACCUUCUAAAUUCUAGGCAUUCACCAUUACAUAUGUCUCAUAUAUAUUUCAUU